UACGGAGGGUGCAAGCGUUAAUCGGAAUUACUGGGCGUAAAGCGUGCGCAGGCGGUUUGUUAAGUCCGUUGUGAAAGCCCCGAGCUCAACUUGGGAAUUGCAGUGGAUACUGGCAGGCUGGAGUACGGUAGAGGAAGGUGGAAUUCCCGGUGUAGCAGUGAAAUGCGUAGAGAUCGGGAAGAACACCCGUGGCGAAGGCGGCCGGCUGGGCCGACCCUGACACUGAGGCGCGAAGGCGUGGGGAGCGAACGGG
rnacentral:rRNA from 1 species